CACUGCAGCCUUCCAGUAUUUAAAGGGAGUUUGUAAAUGUUUUUGUGCCUGCAUCUUAUUUAGCCAAGAAAUGCAUCGUCAGUGUUCAGCCUAGUGCAAGCUAAAGGAUGUAAUGCAGAAAGUUGAAGAAGUGCAUGGUGGACAGCUGGUUCAGCUUUUUAAAGCUAUUUUCAUCUCCUUAUGAUGCUUGCAUUGUGGUGUAUGGCUGUUAUGAGCAUACAGCCUGUGAACACGUGAUCUGCCCUAGGACCUGCAGGAGCUGGAGGAGGCUUCUUGGGCACUGUGUGAUUCAUGAAGAUGCCCAUGUGAACCACUAACCUGGCUGGGGAGAGGAGGGAGCUCCAGCUGCACCAUGUCAGCAUCAGCAGGAGUAGGCAGAGCUGAGAUGGAGGGACUGGAUGGAAGGAGAUGUCAGGACAGCAGGUAACUUCUGCUAGCCACACAAAUCACCACACAAAUCACCCCCACAUUCAAUCAGCAGACUCCAAAGAAUGUGGAGAAAGCCUGCUGGAAAUUUGGGGAUCUAUACUACUCUUGGGGAUGGCUUUUCUGACAGAGGUGAGUCUACAGCAAGGUAUAAUUUGGAAGCUACUUGUGUAGACACAAUGGCAUCACUUCUUUCUUUUUUUCCCCCACAGUGCUCAAUACUGUUCUCCAUGCUAUCAGCAUUAAACAGUCUGGGUUAAUUUCCCAGUGCUGAGGUUUCUCACCACAAUUCCUAUAUUUAUCCAGAGAGAAAAUGGGGCAAUGAUCUCAUAGGAGGAAAACAAAAGAGCCUGUUUCUCUCUAGAGUAAGUAGGUCAAUGCCAUGAGGUGAGAUGGAAGUGAGGCCCAUGGUGUCCUUGGAGUAGAUGGAGGAGAGUGGGCAGGCAGCAGAGCUGCUCAGAGGAGAGACAAAGAUGGUGUUCCAACAAGCUGGCAGCAAAGAGUGGGGAGGCAGGAGGGCUGCUGAUCCCAGUGCCGGACUGGGAGCCAGAAGACACAGCUGCAGUCCCUCACGAGUGCCUGGAAGUUACCUAACCUUCCUCUUUCCUCAUUUGUUUAAUAGGGUUAAUAAACACACUCUGCCCCACA